GAUGAAGAACGUAGCGAAAUGCGAUAAGUAAUGUGAAUUGCAGAAUUCAGUGAAUCAUCGAAUCUUUGAACGCACAUUGCGCCCCCUGGUAUUCCGGGGGGCAUGCCUGUUCGAGCGUCAUUUCACCACUCAAGCCUCGCUUGGUAUUGGGCAACGCGGUCCGCCGCGUGCCUCAAAUCGACCGGCUGGGUCUCCUGUCCCCUAAGCGUUGUGGAAACUAUUCGCUAAAGGGUGUUCGGGAGGCUACGCCGUAAAACAACCCCAUUUCUAAGGUUGACCUCGGAUCAGGUAGGGAUACCCGCUGAACUUAAGCAUAUCAAUAAGCGGAGGA
rnacentral:misc_RNA from 1 species